UAUCUCAGGCCUAAUUUCGUGGGCGAAGUCGAUUGCGUUGCCGUGACAGCCUCAACAAGGCCAGCAAGCUGGCGACUGCGCUCUUCAGAAUUUAUGCCCGCUGAGCUGCUGCCAAACAGCGGUUUUGAUUCCCAGUUGGGCUGCCUGCGUGGUGGUGGCAUAAAUCCGCCAUGAAGGCCAGCUCUCCUUCUGUACGUCGUCCCAAAUCAAAUCAUACUUGCUUCCUUCACGCGCGCGCGAGGUGAGGGGAGGCGUGGGCAGGACAAGAAGCUUGACAACCUUCUAGCAAUGUGGGGGCAAGAACGUGUUGUGUAGGUAUCUGUGACUUUAUUUGCUAGAAGAACUCCUUUUGGUUUGACUCGAUCGAGAAAAAUACUUAGUGCUAGUUUACUGCACCCUUACACUUGGGGAGUUACCCAACCACAUGUACAAGGGAGCAAGCACACCUCUGGCUUGUCGUCGUCAUCCAUCUCGGCAAACAUCUUGUCGAUCUCCGCAUCCGCUGACCUAGGAAGCGAUAGUUGGCCUCCACCUCCGCCUCCUACUGGAUGGAGUGGAGGAUGGUCUGCCGCUUCACCGUCUCCUCCGCCUGGGUCACCCCAAACUCCGCCAGUACCUCGUGCAUGGUGAAGUCCACAACAUGAGGGAUCCGCAUUGUGGCCACUUCAUCAAUCCCAAGAUGAUGUGCCGGCUCAGUCACUCGGAGUUCCUCAUAGGGGUAGGAAUGUGCUUGCUUGCGUUCAUAGAGGUGACUGUAUGUGUGUAUGUUAGAGCGUAUGCUUGUGUACUGUGUUAAAAGAAUCAAUUUUUGUUUUCUUGAAAAGCCCCCAUAAAGCCCGAGCUUCGAACGAAUUCACCCUUUGUACUCGAGUAUUUGACAAAAAACUACCACAUUUGGGGUUCGCGUCCCAUAGAACUACCACUUUAAAAAAGUGACUGAUAACUACCAAAAAAUUGGAAUCUCGUGACUAAAAACUACCACUUUCGGAAAAUGGCCCGUUUAGAAGAUUUAAACGUGUUUAUGACAUGCGGGGCUCGUCUGUCAGGGAUGACGUGGCGGGAAAGUCAACUCCGUUUAUUUUUUACCAUUAAGUUGACCUUUGUGAUAGGUGGGGCCCACAUCAAUCUUCUUCUUCCUCUUCCUCUCUCUUUUUGGCAUUUCAACAAACACUUUCAGUGCAUGGAGGCGGUGGGACUAGUGCGGAGGCCACCAGCGAGGCGUGGCUGCUGGCCACGGCGGAUAGCUAUGACCGGCUAGGUCAAAUUCGCGCCGCCGUGGCCCGCCCUCCCGUCUUCCUGUGGCCGCGGCGGCCAACGACUUCUUCGCCGGGAGAUGGAGGGGCGGGUGCUCCCGAGGCCAAGCCGCAGCAGCGAGCCGAGCCCCACAACCAUGGCGAGCCCCAAGCCCCGGCCACGGCCACGGGAUAGGGAGAAGCCCAACCCACAGCGCCGCAGCGGCUCGGCAGCCUCGGCGGCACGCGUGCUGCAAGGCGUGGCCCUGGUGUGCGUGCCCCAGGCUUGGGAAGUUGGCCUGAAGCGCCUGGAGUAGCACGCCGCGGCCGCGUUCUCCCAGGGGUCUGGUGCCUUCGUUCCGGCCGCCUGCUGCGAUCUACCCGCUAGGUUCGCCGCCAUACCUCGCCGCUCGUCGCCUAGCUAGAGCUCCACGAUGGAGGUGCAGGCUGGCUAUCAAUGCGGCACGACGGGGAGGAGCAACGACACUCGAAGGACACCACCAGCCUCUGGCGACCCCGCGCCGCGCCGCCUUUCCCCGGACCCCUGGAUGAGCUCGAGCUCCAUGAUGGAGGCGGCAACGACAACAACGCUCCUCUCUGCAGAUGUGGUGUUUGUUAAAAUGCCAGAGAAAAAGAGAGGAGGAGGAAGAAGAAUGACGUGUGGGCCCUACUUGUCAUAACGGACCUAAUGGUCAGACUAAACGGUAUUGACUUUUUCUCCCCGUCAGCCCUGACAGACGGGCUUCACCUGUCAUAAACACGUUUAAAUCGCCUAAACUAGCCAUUAUCCGAAAGUGGUAGUUUUUAAUCACGAGAUUUCAAUUUUUUGGUAGUUAUCGGUCAUUUUUUUUAAAAGUGAUAGUUCUGUGGGAUGGAUGUCUGAAAUGUGGUAGUUUUUUGUCAAA